UUAAAGGAAUUGACGGGACCCCGCACAAGCGGUGGAUUAUGUUGUUUUAAUUCGACGCAACGCGAAGAACCUUACCAGGCCUUGACAUACUCGGCAAAGCUCUAGAGAUAGAGUGGAGGUUUAUCCGGGAUACAGGUGGUGCAUGGUUGUCGUCAGCUCGUGUCGUGAGAUGUUGGGUUAAGUCCCGCAACGAGCGCAACCCUUGUCUUUAGUUACCAUCAUUCAGUUGGGGACUCUAGAGAGACUGCCGGUGAUAAACCGGAGGAAGGUGGGGAUGACGUCAAAUCAUCAUGCCCCUUAUGGCCUGGGCUACAAACGUAAUACAAUGGCGUAUACAAAGGGAUGCGAAAGGGCGACCUGGAGCAAAACUCACAAAGUACGUCUCAGUUCAGAUUGGAGUCUGCAACUCGACUCCAUGAAGGCGGAAUCGCUAGUAAUCGCGGAUCAGCAUGCCGCGGUGAAUACGUUCUCGGGGUUU
rnacentral:rRNA from 1 species